rnacentral:rRNA from 1 species
GCAUGGAGAGUUCAUUAAAGAGAGCAAUUUUGGUUACAGACGAGCAUGCGCUCCAUUAGCCAGUUGGCGGGGUAACGGCCCACCAAAGCGACGAUGGAUAGGGGUUCUGAGAGGAAGGUCCCCCACAUUGGAACUGAGACACGGUCCAAACUCCUACGGGAGGCAGCAGUGAGGAAUAUUGGUCAAUGGUCGGCAGACUGAACCAGCCAAGUCGCGUGAGGGAAGACGGCCCUACGGGUUGUAAACCUCUUUUGUCGGAGAGUAAAGUACGCUACGUGUAGCGUAUUGCAAGUAUCCGAAGAAAAAGCAUCGGCUAACUCCGUGCCAGCAGCCGCGGUAAUACGGAGGAUGCGAGCGUUAUCCGGAUUUAUUGGGUUUAAAGGGUGCGUAGGCGGCACGCCAAGUCAGCGGUGAAAUUUCCGGGCUCAACCCGGAGUGUGCCGUUGAAACUGGCGAGCUAGAGUACACAAGAGGCAGGCGGAAUGCGUGGUGUAGCGGUGAAAUGCAUAGAUAUCACGCAGAACCCCGAUUGCGAAGGCAGCCUGCUAGGGUGAAACAGACGCUGAGGCACGAAAGCGUGGGUAUCGAACAGGAUUAGAUACCCUGGUAGUCCACGCAGUAAACGAUGAAUACUAACUGUUUGCGAUACAAUGUAAGCGGUA